rnacentral:rRNA from 1 species
UGUCACAGCCAUAUCACCCUGCAGCCCAAGACCGGUUACUCACUGAAGCUAAGCAGGGCUGCGCCUGGUCAGUACCUGGAUGGGAGACCACAAGGGAACACUAGGUUGCUGUUGGAA